GAAAAACCAAGGAAAUGAUUUGCUCAGGAUGAGAAAUGAAGACGGCCAUCUUGAGCCCAAACAAACAGAAGUCCUCUGAUGAUCUCAUCAGCCAAAUGAGGGGUUUUGACCAAGUGAUGCUCUUGAAAGGAGUGAAAGGAUGUGGUAAAUUGUCUUCAGAGAAAAAGCUUCUCAAAAGGUCUCAAAACAGCUUGAAGAAUGGUCUGGCAUCUUAGGACUGAGAGAUCCUCUGGCUGAGAAACAAAACUGCUUUCCAGACACGAGAGAAGAAGAUCAUAAUGGGCAGAUGAAACCAGUUUAGAUGUGAUGAUGGGAAUCAUUCUUUUCUGGAAUAGUAUCAAAUGUCUUAUAUGUAUCACAUGAUCUGUAUCACAGUUGACUGAAUGGGACUGUGUGACUUUUAAAGACAUUUCAUCACUCAUCUGUCUGAACUGAUUUAUAUAUGAGGUUAAGAGGUUUUGAUGAUAAUUAUUUUCAUUGAAUCUUAUUUGUCUUGAUGCUACUUUAUCAACUUUAUAGUCUAUGCUUCAAUAAAAUGAAA